GACGAACGCUGGCGGCGCGCCUAACACAUGCAAGUCGAACGAGCGAGAGAGAGCUUGCUUUCUCGAGCGAGUGGCGAACGGGUGAGUAACGCGUGAGGAACCUGCCUCAAAGAGGGGGACAACAGUUGGAAACGACUGCUAAUACCGCAUAAGCCCACGGCUCGGCAUCGAGCAGAGGGAAAAGGAGCAAUCCGCUUUGAGAUGGCCUCGCGUCCGAUUAGCUGGUUGGUGAGGUAACGGCCCACCAAGGCGACGAUCGGUAGCCGGACUGAGAGGUUGAACGGCCACAUUGGGACUGAGACACGGCCCAGACUCCUACGGGAGGCAGCAGUGGGGAAUAUUGCACAAUGGGGGAAACCCUGAUGCAGCGACGCCGCGUGGAGGAAGAAGGUCUUCGGAUUGUAAACUCCUGUUGUUGGGGAAGAUAAUGACGGUACCCAACAAGGAAGUGACGGCUAACUACGUGCCAGCAGCCGCGGUAAAACGUAGGUCACAAGCGUUGUCCGGAAUUACUGGGUGUAAAGGGAGCGCAGGCGGGAAGACAAGUUGGAAGUGAAAUCUAUGGGCUCAACCCAUAAACUGCUUUCAAAACUGUUUUUCUUGAGUAGUGCAGAGGUAGGCGGAAUUCCCGGUGUAGCGGUGGAAUGCGUAGGUAUCGGGAGGAACACCAGUGGCGAAGGCGGCCUACUGGGCACCAACUGACGCUGAGGCUCGAAAGUGUGGGUAGCAAACAGGAUUAGAUACCCUGGUAGUCCACACCGUAAACGAUGAUUACUAGGUGUUGGAGGAUUGACCCCUUCAGUGCCGCAGUUAACACAAUAAGUAAUCCACCUGGGGAGUACGACCGCAAGGUUGAAACUCAAAGGAAUUGACGGGGGCCCGCACAAGCAGUGGAGUAUGUGGUUUAAUUCGACGCAACGCGAAGAACCUUACCAAGUCUUGACAUCCUGCGACGGUGCUGGAAACAGUACUUUCCUUCGGGACGCAGAGACAGGUGGUGCAUGGUUGUCGUCAGCUCGUGUCGUGAGAUGUUGGGUUAAGUCCCGCAACGAGCGCAACCCUUAUGGUCAGUUACUACGCAAGAGGACUCUGGCCAGACUGCCGUUGACAAAACGGAGGAAGGUGGGGAUGACGUCAAGUCAUCAUGCCCUUUAUGACUUGGGCUACACACGUACUACAAUGGCGUUAAACAAAGAGAAGCAAGACCGCGAGGUGGAGCAAAACUCAGAAACAACGUCCCAGUUCGGACUGCAGGCUGCAACUCGCCUGCACGAAGUCGGAAUUGCUAGUAAUCGUGGAUCAGCAUGCCACGGUGAAUACGUUCCCGGGCCU
rnacentral:rRNA from 1 species